rnacentral:rRNA from 1 species
AGCGAACGCUGGCGGCAGGCUUAACACAUGCAAGUCGAGCGGCCGUAGCAAUACGGCAGCGGCAGACGGGAGAGUAACACGUGGGAACGUACCCUUCAGUUCGGAACAACCAAGGGAAACUUUGGCUAAUACCGAAUACGUCCGUAAGGAGAAAGAUUUAUCGCUGAAGGAUCGGCCCGCGUCUGAUUAGCUAGUUGGUGAGGUAACGGCUCACCAAGGCGACGAUCAGUAGCUGGUCUGAGAGGAUGAUCAGCCUCACUGGGACUGAGACACGGCCCAGACUCCUACGGGAGGCAGCAGUGGGGAAUAUUGGACAAUGGGCGCAAGCCUGAUCCAGCCAUGCCGCGUGGAUGAUGAAGGCCCUAGGGUUGUAAAGUCCUUUUAACGGGGAAGAUAAUGACGGUACCCGUAGAAUAAGCCCCGGCUAACUUCGUGCCAGCCGCCGCCGUAAAAC